rnacentral:rRNA from 1 species
AUUGAACGCUGGCGGCAUGCUUUACACAUGCAAGUCGAACGGUAACAGGCCGCUUGGUCCUGAAGUGUGGGGCGCGCGGGUGUGUAAUGCCUGGAAGUGUGCCGUCGUGGGGGGGAUAUCCUCGGGAAAGGGGCUCUAAUCCCACAUGCGCCCUGGGGGAGAAAGGGGGGGAGCAAGGGCCCUCGCGCUUUCAGCGGCGCCUAGGUCGGAUUAGCUAGUUGGUGGGGUAAAGGCUUACCAAGGCGACGAUCCGUAGCUGGUCUGAGAGGAAGACCAGCCACACUGGGACUGAGACACGGUCCAGACUCCUACGGGAGGCAGCAGUGGGGAAUUUUGGACAAUGGGCGAAAGCCUGAUCCAGCCAUGCCGCGUGUGGGAAGAAGGUCUUCGGGUUGUAAACCGCUUUUGUUCGGGACGAAACGCAGUAGGUUAAUACCCUGGGGUUAUGACGGUACCGAAAGAAUAAGCACCGGCUAACUACGUG